GCGCAUGCGCUGCUAUACUGCAGUCGAGCGGACGAUUCGAAGCUUGCUUUUGGAUCGUUAGCGGCGGACGGGUGAGUAACACGUGGGCAACCUGCCCUGUAGACGGGGAUAACCCCGAAAAAUCGGUGCUAAUACCGGAUAACACGAAAGGUCGCAUGGUCUUUCUUUGAAAGGCGGUCCAAGCUGUCUUUACAGGAUGGGCCCGCGGCGCAUUAUCUAGUUGGUGAGGUAACGGCUCACCAAGGCGACGAUGCGUAGCCGACCUGAGAGGGUGAUCGGCCACACUGGGACUGAGACACGGCCCAAACUCCUACGGGAGGCAGCAGUAGGGAAUCUUCCGCAAUGGACGAAAGUCUGACGGAGCAACGCCGCGUGAGCGAAGAAGGCCUUCGGGUCGUAAAGCUCUGUUGUUAGGGAAGAACAAGUACCGCAGUCACUGGCGGUACCUUGACGGUACCUAACAAGGAAGCCACGGCUAACUACGUGCCAGCAGCCGCGGUAAUACGUAGGUGGCAAGCGUUGUCCGGAAUUAUUGGGCGUAAAGCGCGCGCAGGCGGUUCCUUAAGUCUGAUGUGAAAGCCCCCGGCUCAACCGUGGAGGGUCAUUGGAAACUGGGGGACUUGAGUGCAAAAAAGGAGAGCGGAAUUCCACGUGUAGCGGUGAAAUGCGUAGAGAUGUGGAGGAACACCAGUGGCGAAGGCGGCUCUCUGGUCUGUAACUGACGCUGAGGCGCGAAAGCGUGGGGAGCAAACAGGUUUAAAUACCCUGGUAGUCCAC
rnacentral:rRNA from 1 species